rnacentral:lncRNA from 1 species
UUUGAACAUACUUCAAAUACCUAAUUUCUCAUGCGAUCGACUCGUACUCACCAGACAUGCUACCUUGCACACCGUGUGCUUACGGUUAUAAUUUAAAACACAUCAUAACCUGACACCAACCAUCUUUUUUCUUUGCUCACUUUCAUUGGGGAUCUAUUCAAGACUUAGAGAAUAGAGAAUUUUAUUAACUAUUUAAUGAGUGUA